rnacentral:lncRNA from 1 species
UGCGUGGAGAACGUGACUGAACCAGGCCAGCUGCUGGAGGCAGACCUGCCUGUGGAGAGACCCCCCGAGACCCUGGGGGAGGCGGCGCAGGACACCCAGCAAGGUGGAGCGGAGGGGAGUGUCUGCAGCCGCUGCUGCACCCGGAUCCCCACUCCCCACCACUGUCCUGCUCCCAGUGGGGACUCGAGGGGGAUACAGCUGUGCAUGUCCUGCAUGGGCACCCUGGACACAGGCGGUCUAGGAACCACUGCAGCAGCUGGAGACCAACUGCUUCCAGCAGCCAAGGCAGAGGAUGGAGCCCUUGGCAGUGACCCUGUGCUGAGCCGGGAGGAGCUUGACGCGCUGCUAGGGGAGGUAAGACUGCGUGACACCAACAGGCAGACUCCAUGCAAAGGGGACCAUGUCUCUGGUGUGGCCCACAGGGGGUCAUGGGCACAUGGGUCAGGCAGCAUGUGCCUGGACAGGGGAAAGGAUGUGGGAUGGAAAGAGAAAAUGAACACCGGGGGCUAUCCCACAGAGCACGUGGGAUGGGAUCUUGCAGUGGGCAUUCCAGACCAUGGCACGGCCGCUGGCAGAAACACAGGGGCUCCUUGCCUAGUGCAGACACCAAGCAGCACAAUCCACAUGGCAACCAAUGAGAAAGAAAGCUCGGAGACACACGUAAAACAAGAUGAAUGCAGGCAUAAUGAUAGCACAAAGAAGUCACAGAAUACAACACUGACCGUCAACAGGACAACCGACAAUGGCACAAACAGAGCAAAAUGGCAGGCUACACCCACUGACACUCAGCAGAGAACAAGCGCACUGAAAAUGUACAUAAAAUACAGGCCAGAGCAAAUAAAAUUCA